UCGCGCAGGUCAGGGCCGCCAGGCACCUGGAGUAGGGCAGUAUCAGGAUAGGCCUUACGGUAACAGGACGCUGCCGUUGGGAGUACCUAGUGUUUACCUAAUUCCAAGACUUAAACUACACAAAUGUGUAUGUUCUCCCUGAAGGCGGAGCUGGAGGCAUCUGGACUGACUUGACAGAGUUGGAUUGUGCAGGCUGGCAAGGGUCGCCUGCAGUAGAAACACGUGGGAGCUCGACUGGCGCAGAAGCCCUGGACCCAGCCGAGACAGGGAAAUGAACACCUCAAACAUCAUGGCCUUUAACCCAGAGACAUGGUUUAUUGGAAAGGACACCUCCAUCAAGAUUCCUUCCAGGAGGGUAUGGAGGAUCAUAAUAAUACCAGCAAUGGAUACUCUUCUGACCCCUCCAGCAAUAGCAGUUGUGCCAGUAUUCUGAAUUGGAAUGUCGCCUUCUGGUCCAAUACAACUCCACUGGUUGUGACAUCCACUACUUUCUCCAGGGAUCAUUAUCCUGGUCACCUUAUAGCAAUGGAAGACCCAUCAAUAUCACCAGCAUCAUCACACCCAACGUCUUCACCCCACCGUUUGCUGUCAGCACCAUCUACUCAACUAGGAAAGUUUCAAUCAAUAGGGAACCCAAUGAAGCAGUGGAAACCUCCACUUUAAUUUCCAUAAGAAGCAGCAAGGAUUCUGAACAACAGCAACUCCUAUUAGACACUGACUUCAAGGAUGAAGAUUGGUCUGAACCAAUCUGGUUCUUGGUAUUAUAACCCAGCAUAUAUGCUAAUGCAUCCAGGUACUGAAUUUUGUUCUUUUCCAUUAUCUUCCUGGAUUGAGUACAGCUUGGGACACAUGACAGACUCUAUGCGAAUAAUCCCGAUUUAAUUCCCGAUUUGGGUGCUAGCACUUUAUUAUAAAAGAACAGCUGCUGAAUAUGCAGAAUCAGUAAUUAUAUCUUUAAAUAUACUAGGCCAAAAAUUGAUCAUUUACUGUACUCCCAACUUAUACUUUUUAAUCCAUAUUCACCUACUAGAAAAUGAGCACUAGGUCUAUGGAAAUUAUGUCCAGACUUUAAAACAACAGGGAUAUCAAGUAUGAUGUAUAGAGAACACCUAGGAAACCUAGCAUAUAACACAUAUCAUUAUCCUUAGUAGUAUACCUCAGGCUUCUAGCUCAUAUCACAGAUUUCUACCCAAAGAAUAUAGGAAUCCAUUUUAAUAAAUCCAUGCCAGUCAUAUUGCAAGUUAUAAUUGUAACCUAUACAUUAAAAUUUAAUACAUAGAACUUUCUACUUUCUAAGUAAGUACAGACCCCCAAAUUAUGCUUGGGUUAUCCAUUUCAUUUAUACCCAGUUUACAACAUACGCCAAAAACAGAUUUGCUCAAGGGAAGGAAAAUCUUAAAGUUCCUUGUUGGACUGGUAGGGGGUUUAACUGGAGGAACAAUGGCAGUCACUUUUUCUCAAUUCCAAAUCAAGUCACAUUAAAUUUUAAAAUCUUGAAAUAAAAAAGCUCAAUUUAAUACACAUAAAAUGAUACCUUUAUCAUCAUUGUGUACACAGAUGGAAAAAAUUAGCAUUAUAUUACAAAAAUUCUGCAUGAUGGUAAAAAUUUAAAUAAAUCAGCUGAAGGAAAUGCUGAAAAAUAACAAAAUAUCAAAAAAACCAAAAAUACUUCUCUGGCUGUAGCUUAUCAGUGUACAGUUGGUUGAUAUGUGGAGUUCUCUUAAGAUAGCUAUAAUCUUAGUUUUCUUGACUGUUUCCAUUGCUGUGCAGAAGCUUUUGAUCUUGAUGAAGUCCCAAAAGUUUAUUUUCGCUUUUGUUUCCUUUGCCUUUGGAGACAUAUCUUGAAAGAAGUUGCUGUGGCUGAUAUCAAAGAGAUUACUGCCUAUGUUCUCCUCUAGGAUUCUGAUGGAUUCCUGUCUCACAGUGAGGUCUUUUAUCCAUUUUGAGUUUAUCUUUGUGUACGGUGUAAGAGAAUGGUCAAAUUUCAUUCUUCUACAUAUAGCUGUCCAGUUUUCCCAGCACCAUUUAUUGAAGAGACUGUCUUUUUUCCACUGUAUAUUUUUUCCUGUUUUGUUGGAGAUUAUUUGCCCAUAGAGUUGAGGGUCCAUAUCUGGGCUCUCUACUCUGUUCCACUGGUCUAUGUGUCUGUUUUUAUGCCAGUACCAUGCUGUCUUGGUGAUCACAGCUUUGUAGUAAAGCUUGAAAUCAGAUAACAUGAUGCCCCCAGUUUUAUUUUUGUUUUUCAACAUUUCCUUAGCGAUUCGGGGUCUCUUCUGAUUCCAUACAAACUUUUGGAUUAUUUGCUCCAGCUCUUUGAAGAAUACUGGUGGAAUUUUGACUGGAAUGGCAUUAAAAGUAUAGAUUGCUCUAGCCAAUAUAGACAUUUUAACAAUGUUUAUUCUUCUGAUCCAAGAGCAUGGAAUGGUCUUCCAUCUUUUUGUGUCUUCUUCAAUUUCUUUCAUGAGUGUUCUGUAGUUCCUCGAGUACAGAUCCUUUACCUCCUCUUUGGUUAGGUUUAUUCCCAGGUAUCUUAUGGUUCUUGGUGUUAUAGUAAAUGGAAUUGACUCUCUAAUUUCCCUUUCUGUAUUUUCAUUGUUAGUGUAUAAGAAAGCCACUGAUUUCUGUACAUUGACUUUGUAUCCUGCCACGUUGCUGAAUUGCUGUAUGAGUUCUAGUAGUUUGGGGGCACAAAAGCUUCUGCACAGCAAAGGAAAUAGUCAAGAAAACAAAGAAGCAACCCACAGAAUGGGAGAAGAUAUUUGCAAAUGACAGUACAAAAGGUUGAUAUCCAGGAUCUAUAAAGAACUCCUCAAACUCAACACACACAAAACAGACAAUCAUAUAAAAAAAUGGGCAGAAGAUAUGAAUAGAGACUUCUCCAAUGAAGACAUACAAACGGCUAUCAGACACAUGAAAAAAUGUUCAUCAUCACUAGCCCUCAGGGAGAUUCAAAUUAAAACCACAUUGAGAUAUCACCUUACACCAGUUAGAAUGGCCAAAAUUAGCAAGACAGGAAACAACAUGUGUUGGAGGGGAUGUGGAGAAAGGGGAAUCCUCUUACACUGUUGGUGGGAAUGCAAGUUGGUGCAGCCUCUUUGGAGAACAGUAUGGAGAUUCCUCAAGAAAUUAAAAAUAGAACUUCCCUAUGACCCUGCCAUUGCACUCCUGGGUAUUUACCCCAAAGACACAGAUGUAGUGAAAAGAAGGGCCAUCUGUACCACAAUGUUUUAUAGCAGCAAUGACCAUGGUCGCCAAACUGUGGAAAGAACCAAGAUGCCUUUCAAUGGACGAAUGGAUAAGGAAGAUGUGGUCCAUAUACACUAUGGAGUAUUAUACCUCCAUCAGAAAAGAUGAAUACCCAACUUUUGUAGCAACAUGGACGGGACUGGAAGAGAUUAUGCUGAGUGAAAUAAGUCAAGCAGAAAGAGUCAAUUAUCAUAUGGUUUCACUUAUUUGUGGAGCAUAACAAAUAGCAUGGAAGACAUGGGGAGAUAGAGAGGAGAAGGGAGUUGGGGGAAAUUGGAAGGGGAGGUGAAUCAUGAGAGUCUAUGGACUCUGAAAAACAAUCUGAGGGGUUUGAAGUGUCGGGGGAUGGGAGGUUGGGGUACCAGGUGGUCAGUAUUAUAGAGGGCAUGGAUUGCAUGGAGCACUGGGUGUGGUGCAAAAAUAAUACUGUUAUGCUGAAAAUAAAUAAAAAAUAAAUUAAAAAAAAUAGCUAUAA